AGCAAAUAAGAUUUAGUUCGCGCUGGAUUUGAAAUCCGGCAGUAUUGUUUUGUUACAAGGUUUGCUG
rnacentral:tRNA from 1 species